UACGUAGGGGGCUAGCGUUGUCCGGAAUCAUUGGGCGUAAAGCGCGCGUAGGCGGCCAGAUAAGUCCGGUGUGAAAGCCACAGGCUCAACCUGUGAAUGCCGCUGGAAACUGUCUGGCUAGAGUCCGGGAGGGGCGAGUGGAAUUCCUGGUGUAGCGGUGAAAAUGCGCAGAUAUCAGGAGGAACACCGAUGCGAAGGCAGGUCUCUGGGCCACUACUG
rnacentral:rRNA from 1 species